rnacentral:rRNA from 1 species
UCAAAUUUAUAAUCUGGCACCUUCGGUGUCCGAGUUGUAAUCUCUAGAAAUGUUUUCCGCGUUGGACCGCACACAAGUCUGUUGGAAUACAGCGGCAUAGUGGUGAGACCCCCGUAUAUGGUGCGGACGCCCAGCGCUUUGUGAUACAUUUUCGAAGAGUCGAGUUGUUUGGGAAUGCAGCUCAAAUUGGGUGGUAAAUUCCAUCUAAAGCUAAAUAUUGGCGAGAGACCGAUAGCGAACAAGUACCGUGAGGGAAAGAUGAAAAGCACUUUGGAAAGAGAGUUAACAGUACGUGAAAUUGUUGGAAGGGAAACGCUUGAAGUCAGACUUGCUUGCUGAGCAAUCGGUUUGCAGGCCAGCAUCAGUUUUCCGGGAUGGAUAAUGGUAGAGAGAAGGUAGCAGUUUCGGCUGUGUUAUAGCUCUCUGCUGGAUACAUCUUGGGGGACUGAGGAACGCAGUGUGCCUUUGGCGGGGGUUUCGACCUCUUCACACUUAAGAUGCUGGUGGAAUGGCUUUAA